CCUACGGGUGGCAGCAGUGGGGAAUAUUGCGCAAUGGGCGCAAGCCUGACCCAGCAACGCCGCGUGAAGGAUGAAGGUCUUCGGAUCGUAAACCUCUGUCGCGAGGGACGAAGAAUGACGGUACUUAGUAAGAAAGACUCGGCUAACUACGCGCCAGCAGCCGCGGCAAUACGUAGGGGGCCAGCGUUGUUCGGACUGACUGGGCGUAAAGGGAGUGUAGGCGGCUCAUCAAGUUAGAUGUGAAAUCCCGUGGCUUAACCGGGGAACUGCAUCUGAAACUGGUAAGCUGGAGUGCAGGAGAGGAGAGUGGAAUUCCUGGUGUAGCGGUGAAAUGCGUAGAUAUUAGGAGGAACACCAGAGGCGAAGGCGACUCACUGGACUGUAACUGACGCUGAGGCUCGAAAGCGUGGGGAGCAAACAGGAUUAGAUACCCGAGUAGUC
rnacentral:rRNA from 1 species